rnacentral:rRNA from 1 species
CACGUAGGGGGCAAGCGUUGUCCGGAAUUAUUGGGCGUAAAGAGCUCGUAGGCGGCUCGGUAAGUCAGGUGUCAAAUCCUCAGGCUCAACCUGGGGCUCCACCUGAUACUGCUGUGGCUAGAGUCCGGUAGGGGAGCGUGGAAUUCCUGGUGUAGCGGUGAAAUGCGUAGAUAUCGGGAGGAACACCAGCGGCGAAGGCGGGCAUCUGGGCUAACACUGACGCUGAGGCGCGAAAGCUAGGGGAGCAAACAGG